rfam:Cavia porcellus supercont2_35 genomic scaffold, whole genome shotgun sequence.
UGGCACCCAGCGUGAGGGCUCCUGGCACGGGGGAGUUAAUGAGGGAGCCGUUCAAGAACACUGGCUAGAAGUAAAAGCAAAUUGAAUCAAGGACCGAGGCCUGCAUGGACGAUUGCCCGACAUGCCACCCGAGUCAUGGUGAGUGAAUGUCAACCCCAUUCCCUUUCCUGGACAUGGGUCAAGCAUUGAGUGAACAUAAAUUGUUUGUGGGAGGCCUUAGAAAGGCAUUAAAGACAAGAGGGGUAAGGGUUAGAACAAAAGAAUUGUUGCAGUAUUUUCAGUUUAUCCAUAAGGUUUGCCCUU